rnacentral:rRNA from 1 species
GUGGGGAAUAUUGGACAAUGGGCGAAAGCCUGAUCCAGCCAUGCCGCGUGUGUGAAGAAGGUCUUCGGAUUGUAAAGCACUUUAAGUUGGGAGGAAGGGCAGUAAGUUAAUACCUUGCUGUUUUGACGUUACCGACAGAAUAAGCACCGGCUAACUUCGUGCCAGCAGUCGCGGUAAUACGAAGGGUGCAAGCGUUAAUCGGAAUUACUGGGCGUAAAGCGCGCGUAGGUGGUUUUGUAAGUUGGAGGUGAAAUCCCCGGGCUCAACCUGGGAACUGCCUCCAAAACUGCAUGACUAGAGUACGGUAGAGGGUAGUGGAAUUUCCUGUGUAGCGGUGAAAUGCGUAGAUAUAGGAAGGAACACCAGUGGCGAAGGCGACUACCUGGACUGAUACUGACACUGAGGUGCGAAAGCGUGGGGAGCAAACAGGAUUAGAAACCCCGGUAGUCC